rnacentral:tRNA from 1 species
AGAGCCAGUCUAAGUGGUAGAGCACAUGCUUAGCAUACAUGAGGUCCUGGGUUCAAUCCCCAGUAGCUCCA